rnacentral:rRNA from 1 species
GACCCCUUGAAGACUACAAGGUAGAUAGGUUGGAGGUGUAAGUGUGGUAACACAUUUAGCUGACCAAUACUAAUAGGUCGAGGUCUUAAUCUAA